rnacentral:snRNA from 1 species
AGCCACUUCGGUGGUCACCCGUAAAAAUUGGAACGAUACAGAGAAGAUUAGCAUGGCCCCUGCACA